rnacentral:rRNA from 1 species
GAUGAACGCUGGCGGCGUGCUUAACACAUGCAAGUCGAACGGACAGGCCCUGCUUUUGCUCCUUUCUCGAUUGGCGCGCGCGGGUGUAUAACAUGUGUAUCCCCCCCUUGACAUUGUGGGAAAUUCACGGGAAACGGGCUCAUACCCCAUAUGAUAUGCUGAUGCGUAUUGGUCAAUAGUGAAAGUCGGCUUUGGUGUCUCUUCUCGCUGGAUCCGCGCCGGAUUAGCUAGUUGGUAAGGUAACGGCUUAUCACGGGAACGAUGCGUAGCCGACCGGAGAGAGGGAUAGGCCACACUGGAACUGAGACACGGUCCAGACUCCUACGGGAGGCAGCAGUAGGGAAUCUUCCGCAAUGGGCGAAAGCCUGACGGAGCAACGCCGCGUGAGUGAUGAAGGUCUUCGGAUCGUAAAACUCUGUUAUUAGGGAAGAACAAAUGUGUAAGUAACUAUGCACGUCUUGACGGUACCUAAUCAGAAAGCCACGGCUAACUACGUG